GCAGAGGUCCGCCCCGCGCCCUCCGCCAGGCGCCGGGGCCGCUGGGUCUCAGGUCCCCCACCCCACCCCCCUUGGUCUCUUCUCCCUGGCAGAGUCAACUUUUAGAGUCUUCUGAGAACUGUACGGCGGCAUUAGAUUAUCUUUGAGAUAAUUCUUAAGUUAGCGCCUGGAGGCAGUGUGAUGGAAGGUUCAAAGAGAAGGCUCUACACUGUUUCCUCCACCUGUCUCACGGUUCGAAAUGGAAAACGUGCGUGGACGGUGAUUUUCCACACAAGGUGACACUGAUGAUAAAAACCCGUUCAAGAAUUUAGAUGUGACAUCUGCAGCAGGUUCAGAUCUCUCAGCUAAAAGACAGACUGGAUACUUCGUAAAGAUUUUCAUCUGUUGUGCACAGAGAGCCAAAAUCCGUUACUGAAAUAGACUGUCUGGGUGAACUGCCUGCUGGGUCCAGUGAUGCACUAGUAGACAAAGAAGUUGAAAAAGAAGGCUGGCAUAUUCUUUGGAUAACUGGCUGAGUGUGACACCAAUAUGGCAUCAAGCCCUACUAUGAUUCCAAGGACUUCAUGAUUAAAUAACUGAUUUUUUUGGGUGGAAGUAGGGGUGGAUGAAGUAAAUUUGAUCUUUACUUGGGGAAUGUAUAAUGUAUUACCAUCCCAUAAUGAUGUAUGAUAAUUGGCUUUGGUCAUCAAACUUUAGAGAUCCUGUCUAUUUAUGGGACUUAAUAUAGUUAACACCUUUUAGUAUUGAACUUUCUGACACUAAGGGAAAUGCUAUAAAGAGAAAUAUCUGCUUAACCUAAAAUAGUUUACCUAAAAAGUUUAAUAUAAGGACUGUGAUUUUUCUUUGGGGGAUUUUUGAAAUUUUGCUCCUCCCUAGAGUAUUUAAAUUAUAUUUCUAUUUGCAGAAAGGCUACUGUACCUAGAGUUUUUUAGGAAAAUAUCCUUUUGUGUAGGAUCUUGAACUGGAUAGUGAGUAGAUAAUCAUACUGUACAGUGUUAAUGUGCAUACAACAGUUAAUAAAUUUAUAACUACAAAUUAAUAAGAGCUAUUAAUAAAUUAAUAUCCAGAUCUGUU
ensembl:lncRNA